ensembl:lncRNA novel transcript
UGGCGCAAUCCCAGCUCACUGCAAGCUCCGCCUCCCGGGUUCACGCUGUUUUCCUGCCUCAGCCUCCAGAGUAGCUGGGACUACAGGUGCCCGCUACCAUGCCUGGCUAAUUUUUUUGCAUUUUCGUAGAGACGGGGUUUCACUGUGUUAGCCAGGAUGGUCUUGAUCUCCUGACCUCGUGAUCCGCCUGCCUUGGCCUCCCAAAGUGUUGGGAUUACAGGUGUGAGCCACCGCGCCCGGUCGAGUUUUCUUCUUUAAUCUGGUGUUGAUCCUGAGAGUGCUUUGUUAAAAAACAUUCUCCAUGCUGACCUCCGUUUUCGAGUCCGCUUCCUGGGGAAACCUGAAACAGGACUUGAUGCUAGCAGCUGCCCAGAAGAACCAGAUGGGCCACUGUCCUUGCCAGAAGAUCUGAUAUCCUGUGUAUGGCCACCACCUAACACUGCUCACUUCUACAUGUAAACCUCAGGUUCUUUCCUCUACAUGGUAUCAAGAAAUUUCUGGCAUCUGAAACAACUCUGAGUCUAGGUUUCAGAAAACCAAGUGAACAAAUGGAACAAGCGCCAAUUGUUUAAGAUGAAAUCACUGAUAACUGCAGCCAUGUUGAUUAAUUCAACCUGAUCUAAAAUUAUUUACCCUCUCUUUUGUUUAGAAACCUUAGAGUCUGUUCCAACACAUAUAAUCUAUGUUCUUGAUGUUCUAAAUUAGAAAAAUGAUACAA